AGCGAACGCUGGCGGCAGGCCUAACACAUGCAAGUCGAACGAACUCUUCGGAGUUAGUGGCGGACGGGUGAGUAACACGUGGGAACGUGCCUUUAGGUUCGGAAUAACUCAGGGAAACUUGUGCUAAUACCGAAUGUGCCCUUCGGGGGAAAGAUUUAUCGCCUUUAGAGCGGCCCGCGUCUGAUUAGCUAGUUGGUGAGGUAACGGCUCACCAAGGCGACGAUCAGUAGCUGGUCUGAGAGGAUGGCCAGCCACACUGGGACUGAGACACGGCUCAGACUCCUACGGGAGGCAGCAGUGGGGAAUCUUGCGCAAUGGGCGAAAGCCUGACGCAGCCAUGCCGCGUGAAUGAUGAAGGUCUUAGGAUUGUAAAAUUCUUUCACCGGGGGCGAUAAUGACGGUACCCGGAGAAGAAGCCCCGGCUAACUUCGUGCCAGCCGCCGCGGUAA
rnacentral:rRNA from 1 species